UUCACUUUUCUUGGUGAAACCAAAAAAAUUCAUUAAAAAAAAAAAAAUGCCACAGUUAUCAGGCGGCGGCGGAGACCCGGAGCUUUGCGCCACAGACGAAAUGAUCCCGUUCAAAGACGAAGGAGACCCGCAUAAGGAGCAGAUCUUCGCCGAGCUCAGCCACUCGGAGGAAGAGGGAGACCUGGCAGACAUCAAGUCAUCUCUGGUCAACGAGUCAGAGAGCAGCCCCAACAGCCACGAUGGAGCUAGACAGUCCCAAAUACAGCAAGAUUCAUAUCAUGAAAAACACAGAGACCAUUCUGAAGACGGAAAACUCCAAGACCUGUACAGUAAAGGCCAUCCGUACCAGGGCUACCCAGGCUACAUCAUGAUGAGCAACAUGAACGACUCCUACAUGAACAAUGGCUCCCUCUCGCCGCCCAUGCCCAGAACGUCCAACAAAGUCCCCGUGGUGCAGCCGUCCCAUGCAGUCCACCCACUCACCCCACUGAUCACGUACAGUGACGAGCACUUUGCCCCAGGAUCCCAUUCUGGUCUUCAUCCCCAGGAUAUCAACAACAAACAAGGAAUGCCAAGGCAUCACCCUGGACCAGACAUGACCAACUUCUACUCCCUGUCUCCUGGAGGUGUCGGACAGAUCACGCCACCGCUGGGCUGGUUCUCACACCACAUGGUGCCCGGCCCCCCAGGUCCCCACGCUACAGGGAUCCCCCACCCGGCCAUCGUCAACCCACAGGUCAAACACGAGCCUCCGCAUGAAACAGACAUCAUGCACAUGAAACCCCAGCACGAACAGAGAAAGGAGCAGGAGCCCAAAAGACCGCACAUCAAGAAGCCGCUAAACGCCUUCAUGCUCUACAUGAAAGAAAUGCGUGCGAAUGUGGUCGCCGAGUGCACGCUGAAGGAGAGCGCUGCCAUCAAUCAGAUCCUGGGACGAAGGUGGCAUGCUUUAUCUCGGGAAGAGCAAGCUAAGUAUUAUGAGUUAGCCCGCAAGGAACGGCAGCUCCACAUGCAGCUCUACCCAGGCUGGUCCGCUCGAGACAAUUAUAGGGACUUCAAAGGCAGAGAAAAUAUGGUCACAACCGCAGGACAAGCUGCCUCCAUUCGGUAAGGAUGGUCACUACUCAAUAAAUGCCUUUUAAAAUGUAUAGAAAGUAAGUCAUUCAAAACCAGCUAAAAGCAGGUAGAGCACACUUAACAUCAGCUCAGACUCUUGCUUAGUCCGUCCCUCUCAGCGUGGCAGUUUGCUGUGGAGUCCGGAGUCCAGGGGAUGCUAGUUGGAUGCCCUGCAGGGGAUGAGUGAACAUGGCAGUCAGCAGCAGGAUAUCAGAGUGGUCUAGUGAGCGUGAGUGCUGGAGCCACACUUUAUGUGUUCCUCUGUAUAUUUUUUAGGGAAAGAAGAAGAAGCGGAAGAGGGAGAAGAUGCAGGAAUCAGCCCCAGGUACAGGCCAGAGAAUGAAAACGGCGUACAUCUGAG